GACGAACGCUGGCGGCGUGCUUAACACAUGCAAGUCGAACGGUGAAGCGCUUUCCUUUUUGGUUGGUGUGGAUGAGUGGCGAACGGGUGAGUAACACGUGAGUAACCUGCCCCCUUCUUCUGGAUAACCGCAUGAAAGUGUGGCUAAUACGGGAUAUUCUGCGCCUGCUGCAUGGUGGGUGUGGGAAAGAUUGUGCCUUUGGGUGUUUUCGGUGGGGGAUGGGCUCGCGGCCUAUCAGCUUGUUGGUGGGGUGAUGGCCUACCAAGGCGGUGACGGGUAGCCGGCCUGAGAGGGUGGACGGUCACACUGGGACUGAGACGCGGCCCAGACUCCUACGGGAGGCAGCAGUGGGGAAUAUUGCACAAUGGGCGCAAGCCUGAUGCAGCGACGCCGCGUGAGGGAUGGAGGCCUUCGGGUUGUGAACCUCUUUCGCCAGUGAAGCAGGCCUGCUCCUUGUGGGUGGGUUGACGGUAGCUGGAUAAGAAGCGCCGGCUAACUACGUG
rnacentral:rRNA from 1 species